GAACAAUCUCGAAUGAUAUGUUGCAAGCACAUACCUCAUCAACAUGUCAAAUGGGCCCCACACAAAAACCUUUCUCUCCCUCAUUUUAUUUCUAAAAAAACACUUGGUUUAUUUUUCGCCGUCACCACUGACAAAGAAAGAAAAUGCAUUUUCAUCAUCCAUAAUAAAGCUAGCAGCUCUAUCUUUCUCAUAACCAAAAGAUGCCCAAUACCAAAAUCUAAACAACACACACACACACACACACACACAAAAAAAAAAAAAAAAAAAAAAAAAUUCACUCCAAUUUGGUGAUGCUUGGAGUAUUGUGUGCACGUCCUAAGCCUUGGCUAUUUGCAUCACUCUGCUUAUCACACGCCCACGGCUCAACGCCGUGUGCAUAUAGCAGAGUUAUUACUAGUGCUGCAACAACAAGAUCGUCUCCAUCAUCAUCGUCAUCUGUUUUAUUACAACAACAGUAUCAGCAACAACAUAGGAGGCAUCAUUCUAGUCAUUGUCGUAUUGGUGCAUCAUCACUGUCUUCGAUUUGGCAUGUGAUUCUUCCUGCAGGAAGGAGAAAUAAGAAGGAGAUUAAUAAGAGGAAUAAUAAUAAUACGGUGUUUCAUAAUCAUCAUUAUGAGCUUGAUAAAAAAGGUGAAGGGUCUUGGAAUGUUGCGUGGGAUUCUAGACCUGCGAGGUGGUUGCAUAAUCCUGAUUCAGCUUGGUUAUUGUUUGGUGUUUGUUCUUGUUUAGCAACGCCAGUGCCAGCUCUUGAUCUACCAGAUGUGAAUUGUGAUGCAGCUGUACCAAUUGAGAAAAAGUCCAUAGAUGAGAGUGAUCAAAACUCUGCCAACUAUAAAGUCACUGGGGUACCGGCGGAUGGGAGAUGUCUAUUCAGAGCAAUAGCACAUAUGACUUGUUUAAGAAAUGGGGAGGAAGCACCUGAUGAAAAUCGACAGAGAGAACUUGCUGAUGAAUUAAGAGCUCAGGUUGUUGACGAGCUGUUAAAGAGGCGAAAAGAAGCCGAAUGGUUUAUUGAAGGGGAUUUUGAUGCAUACGUAGAACGAAUUGAAAAGCCGUAUGUGUGGGGAGGAGAACCAGAGCUACUAAUGGCUGCUCAUGUUCUCAAGAACGUGCAGAAGUGAAGGUGAUCAACUAAUAUUGGACGGAGGGAGUCCUCAAUUUCUGUCUAUAUGGUAGAUAGAAGCACAGGAAGUUUGAUAAACAUAUCAAAUUAUGGAGAAGAAUAUAGGAAGGAGGGAGAAAGUCCGAUUAAUGUAUUGUUUCAUGGUUAUGGUCACUAUGACAUAUUGGAGACAAUUUCAGACAAGGUUCACCAGAAGUUAGAAGAAUAAAGCAGGGUUAUGAUGCCCUUAGGGACAUAGUCUUGAUUAAAUUUUCAUAAAAAAGGUAGUUAGCAACUUCGGUCAACUCAGUGAUAAGAAGUUCAGCUAUCCCGAUAACAAACAUCUUCUUUCGGGUCGAGUCAAUUUGUUUGGACGAUCUUUUCUCUAAAACAGAAUCGGGACCUUGUUCAGGAGGGAGCUGUUGACUAGUUAAGCUUCUCUCUCGAACUAACAUCUCCCGAACAGUUCCUUUGUCUUUAGCCUAUAGCCUUAGUGAACUCUGUAUAUCCAGGGACGGAGUUAGGUGUAUGCAAGGGUGUUCAAUUGAAACCCACUCAAGGGAAGGUUCUUGUGUACUGUCACAGGUGGUUCAAAAAUUACUUUUGUUUACAAUUUUUAAUCUUAGGCAUGGCGUUCUACAUUUUUCGAUUCCCCUUGUUAGAAUUCCUGGCUCCAUCGCUGCCUAUAUGUGACUGCUUGAAAUUUCAGUUAAGCUUGUGUUUCUUGAUUGGCAUGAGUUCCAUCUUUAUCUCCUUCUCAUCUGAGUUCAGCAGUUUCUCUCGACUUCAUGGAAUCGAAUCAUUUUGCUAGGCAUAGAGGCCUUUGAUUUUCUUUAGAAGAUUAAUCUUAAUUCCCCCAAAGAUGCUGUUUUUUGUUGUUGAACUGUUUGUUCUGUAUUUUGCUGAUUAAAAAAAAAUGUCCGGAGGAAUUGGAGUCGUCCCAAAAAAUGAAGUUUGAAACAGCAGACCUUUUAAUUCUGACUCUUGAUAUUUCUUCAAAAACAUGUCGCUAGAAGUCUUGGUUUUGAGCCCUGUUGAAUCCGGAAUGUCUUUUUCAGGGAGCGUUUUACCUCUCACCGUAAGACUUCCUGGCCCCGAUAGGAGUAUUGGGCACCGGUUUAUAAGCCAGCAACACAGAAAGAUCUACUUGCUGUUGCAUUUCUACAUUUGCUUGAAUGGCUGCUAUAAUUUUGAUUUCGUGUUUAAGUAUGUGAGAAAUAUAAGAGAAGAAUAUUAUUGACUUAUUGUAACAGCAUUGUUAAUUUAUGGACACGGCAUUUCAAUCUUUUUUCAA